UUAAGUUCGCGGUGAGCCUACUCGAUUUGAGGUCAAGUUGUCAGUUGUUGUCCGAAGACGGUUUGAAGCACAGAGCUCCCGAUCGGCCACCCUCUGUGAGGAGGUGCCGGCGAAGACACUUAUCACGCCGUACUAUGUCCAACCGAAAGGUGCACUAAUGCAUUUAAGGUGAGCCACAGUAACGCAGCAACACCCAAGUC
rnacentral:misc_RNA from 1 species